rnacentral:rRNA from 1 species
AUUGAACGCUGGCGGCAUGCUUUACACAUGCAAGUCGAACGGUAACAGGCCGCAAGGUGCUGACGAGUGGCGAACGGGUGAGUAAUGCAUCGGAACGUGCCCAGUCGUGGGGGAUAACGCAGCGAAAGCUGCGCUAAUACCGCAUACGAUCUAUGGAUGAAAGCGGGGGACCGUAAGGCCUCGCGCGAUUGGAGCGGCCGAUGCCAGAUUAGGUAGUUGGUGGGGUAAAGGCUCACCAAGCCAACGAUCUGUAGCUGGUCUGAGAGGACGACCAGCCACACUGGGACUGAGACACGGCCCAGACUCUUACGGGAGGCAGCAGUGGGGAAUUUUGGACAAUGGGCGCAAGCCUGAUCCAGCAAUGCCGCGUGCAGGAAGAAGGCCUUCGGGUUGUAAACUGCUUUUGUACGGAACGAAACGGUCUGGGUUAAUACCUCGGGCUAAUGACGGUACCGUAAGAAUAAGCACCGGCUAACUACGUGCCAGCCGCCGCCGUAAUAC